rnacentral:rRNA from 1 species
UACGUAGGUGGCAAGCGUUGUCCGGAUUUACUGGGCGUAAAGAGCGCGCAGGCGGUCGUUCAAGUCGCGUGUGAAAGCCCCCGGCUCAACUGGGGAGGGUCACGCGAUACUGAUCGACUCGAAGGCAGGAGAGGGAAGUGGAAUUCCCGGUGUAGUGGUGAAAUGCGUAGAUAUCAGGAAGAACACCCGUGGCGAAAGCGGCUCUCUGGAACGGUACUGACGCUGAGACGCGAAAGCGUGGGGAGCGAACAGG